CUAGCAGUAUCAGAGUUUGAUCCUGGCUCAGAUUGAACGCUGGCGGCAUGCCUUACACAUGCAAGUCGAACGGUAACGCGGGGCAACCUGGCGACGAGUGGCGAACGGGUGAGUAAUACAUCGGAACGUGCCCAGUAGUGGGGGAUAGCCCGGCGAAAGCCGGAUUAAUACCGCAUACGACCUACGGGUGAAAGCGGGGGAUCGCAAGACCUCGCGCUAUUGGAGCGGCCGAUGUCAGAUUAGGUAGUUGGUGGGGUAAAAGCCUACCAAGCCGACGAUCUGUAGCUGGUCUGAGAGGACGACCAGCCACACUGGGACUGAGACACGGCCCAG
rnacentral:rRNA from 1 species